AAGGAGCACUUCUAGGCUGCUUCGGCAGUCCAGAGGCCAGUACAUCAGCGAAUGUCUGAUGCUGGUUGCUCAUGGGUGGAACGUUGACUACUCGGCACGAUCGGCUUGAUGGAUCACUAGUACUGCUUCGGCGUGGAACGUGAGUCCUGAGAGUGGUUCGUGUCGGGCACGCUGUUGGGUAUCUGAGGGUACGGCCGUUGGCCUGCUUUCAGUGCCGGCCCCGGUAAAGAUCCGCGUGAGUGGGUUGUGACGGGUGGUUGGUCGUUGUUUGAGAACUGCACAGUGGACGCGAGCAUCUGU
rnacentral:misc_RNA from 1 species